GUGUGUGUGUGUGUGUGUGUAUGUGUUUGUGAUUUAAAAUUACAUUCAGUCAACUCUCUCUUUUUAUAGCCCUAUGGGCUUUUUGAAUAACCAAAUGCUCAACAGUUCUGUAAUCUUUCAGGUUGCUGUGAUCAGUCCCUAAGGAGUCUACACUCUCAGAGAGAUUGGGAAAGGCCUGUGAGACAAUGGGAUUCUUUUUUCUAGAGGUGUAACUCUGCCUGUGUUUGCAUGCCACCUCCAGAACGACUAAAAUGUUAUUUCUCAGUGGGUGAUUAAGACUGGCAGCAAUUGCAAAAACAGAUUCAUGCCAUGUGUCACUCUUCACAGUCAGGAACUUAUUUACCUCUUGGAACUUUCCAAAGGAACGAUGAUGGUGGUGAUAAUGUCACAUUAAUAUGGAGCCCUUAAAUUCAGCAGUGUUCAACCUGAGGGAAGAGAGAACCCUGGGACUUGCCCCAGUAACUUUCACCCUGUGCCUUUGCUUCAGGGCCAUGCUGGAUAAGGAACUGGCUGCCUCUGUGAACAUCCUACUCAAGGCAUCUUCACUGCUGUACAUCCUUUUGAAAUCCCAGAGGUCUUCAGUCUCCCUGUGGAUUAAGGAGAUGUGCAGUAUUUAAAGUAGCUUCAGGAAGGCAUGGAAGAGGACUGAGUGCGGAAAGCUUUUUGUGCAUGCUGCUGGCCACCUCCAGCGGCUGCCUCCAGCCUCCAUCAGCUGCACUCUGGGGAAGAGGAGGCUGCCUUCUACCUCUCAGCAUCUCUGGAUUUCAUGUUCCUGUCAGCACAGAGGAGCUAAAUGGCCU
rnacentral:sRNA from 1 species